CCUACGGGUGGCAGCAGUGGGGAAUAUUGCACAAUGCGCGCAAGCCUGAUGCAGCCACGCCGCGUGAAUGAAGAAGGCCUUCGGGUUGUAAAGCUCUUUCGACAGGGAAGAAAAUGAUUACACGUAUACCUUUUUGUAUUGACGUUACCCGUAUAAGAAGCCCCGGCUAACUCCGUCCCAGCAGCCGCGGUAAUACGGAGGGGGCGAGCGUUGUUCGGAGUGACUGGGCGUAAAGAGCACGUAGUCGGUGUGGUAAGUCAGUAGUGAAAUACUAGGGCUCAACCUGAGAAAUGCAAGUGAUACUGGCAGACUAGAGUAUCGUAGAGGGAUGCAGAAUUCGUGGUGUAGCGGUGAAAUGCGUAGAGAUCAGGAGGAAUACCGUUGGCGAAGGCGGCCACCUGGACAGAGACUGACGCUGAGGUGCGAAAGCGUGGGUAGCAAACAGGAUUAGAUACCCGUGUAGUC
rnacentral:rRNA from 1 species